rnacentral:lncRNA from 1 species
UAGGUGCUCUACUAGUCGGUGAGGUUGGAUCCGACGAUGCCAUGAAAGAAAGAGCCAUUGGCAUGAGUGAUCUCUGAACGGUGGAUGAUGCAUCGGAUGUGGUGGUGUCAGAGGUGGAGGAUGGCAACUAUGAGGCGGUGAAGGGCUCCCUGGCCUCGGCAAGUGGUGGUGGACGGAUGAAGGUGGGAUUGGGGUAGAUCGGAAGAUAGCAGACAGACAAAGGUAGUGGC